rnacentral:lncRNA from 1 species
GGGGAGUAAAAUUUUGGAGGGAAAAUAUUAAAAAAAAUUGGAGGGGGGAGGGUUUAGGAUAGAUGGGAGGUGGGAUGAGAAGGGAAUAAAAGUUUUAAGGGAAAAGUGAGAGGGAGUAAAAAUUUUGGGGGAAAAUAAAAGGUUUUGAGGGUUUUUGGGAGUAAAAUUUUGAGAAAAAGUAAAUGGGAGAGUAAAAUUUUGGUGGGAAAUGGAUUUUGGGUAGAUUGGGGGGUUGGGAGGGGAGGGGAGGGGAGUUUGGGGGGGAAAG